AUUGAACGCUGGCGGCAGGCCUAACACAUGCAAGUCGGGCGGAGCGGCGGACGGGUGAGUAACGCGUGAGUAACUGCCCCCCUCUCUGGGAUAACAGUUGGAAACGGCUGCUAAUACCGGAUAGUGGGGGAUGACUCGCGUCCUAUCAGCUUGUUGGUGGGGUAGUGGCCUACCAAGGCGACGGCGGGUAGCCGGCCUGGGAGGGCGACCGGCCACAUUGGGCUGGGAUACGGCCCAAACUGCUACGGGAGGCAGCAGUGGCGAAUAUUGCACAAUGGGGGAAACCCUGAUGCAGCAACGCCGCGGGCGGGAUGACGGCCUUCGGGGUGUAAACCGCUUUCAGCCAUGACGCGGUAGUGGCAGAAGAAGCACCGGCUAACUACGUGCCAGCAGCCGCGGUAAUUC
rnacentral:rRNA from 1 species